GGAAGGAGAGGCUCAUGGCAUCUGGUGAACUCUCUUUGGCUCUCUUGGCAACUCUGGGCAAAGCUCUGACUUGUGAAUAGACACUUGGAUAUGAAUCCCAGCUUGGCUGUUAGCUGUGUCUACUGCACUGAACCUUGGGGUCCUUGGCUAUCAAAUCAAGGAGAAUCCGUAAACUUUCAUCUGGGGAAGGGAUUGGAGAGAACAUUGAUGCAUACUUGAUGCUGGAUGGAGAAGGCACGUGGAAGAUGGAGUGAGUAAAGAGAGAUUUGAAGACGAUGGCAUGGAAGCCUGGAGUGAGAUGGUUAUAAACCAGGGUUUGCUGGCAGCCAUCAGGAGCUAGAAGAUGCAAAGAUGGAUUCUUUCCUAGAGCACAGCCUGUAGACACCUUGAUUAUUGCCCAGACUCUGGCCUCCAGAACUGUGCAGCCAGCUUUGGGAGGGGAAGAAAACAGCUGAAGGAUGCAGGCUGCUGAGGAUUACAUGUUCUGCUCUGGGAUGAAUUGGAAGCACCUCCAUUCCUGGAGUCCAGAGAAGAUGGGGCUCCAAGGUCACCAAGUCCUGAUUGU